GUCUAUGGCCAUACCACCCUGAACGUGCCUGAUCUUGUCUGAUCUCGGAAGCUAAACAGGGUCGGGCCUGGUUAGUACUUGGAUGGGAGAAAGAAAAAGACAAAAUUUGCCUUUAUUUGUAGGUGCUAUAAUUG
rnacentral:rRNA from 1 species